CGGGCCGUAGCGCAGGCUGGUAGCGCGUUUGACUGGGGGUCAAAAGGUCGCAGGUUCGAAUCCUGUCGGCCCGAC
rnacentral:tRNA from 1 species